rnacentral:rRNA from 1 species
GCAGUCGAGCGAGCUUGCCUAGAUGAUUUUAGUGCUUGCACUAAAUGAAACUAGAUACAAGCGAGCGGCGGACGGGUGAGUAACACGUGGGUAACCUGCCCAAGAGACUGGGAUAACACCUGGAAACAGAUGCUAAUACCGGAUAACAACACUAGACGCAUGUCUAGAGUUUGAAAGAUGGUUCUGCUAUCACUCUUGGAUGGACCUGCGGUGCAUUAGCUAGUUGGUAAGGUAAUGGCUUACCAAGGCGAUGAUGCAUAGCCGAGUUGAGAGACUGAUCGGCCACAUUGGGACUGAGACACGGCCCAAACUCCUACGGGAGGCAGCAGUAGGGAAUCUUCCACAAUGGACGAAAGUCUGAUGGAGCAACGCCGCGUGAGUGAAGAAGGGUUUCGGCUCGUAAAGCUCUGUUGGUAGUGAAGAAAGAUAGAGGUAGUAACUGGCCUUUAUUUGACGGUAAUUACUUAGAAAGUCACGGCUAACUACGUGCCAGCAGCCGCGGUAAUACGUAGGUGGCAAGCGUUGUCCGGAUUUAUUGGGCGUAAAGCGAGUGCAGGCGGUUCAAUAAGUCUGAUGUGAAAGCCUUCGGCUCAACCGGAGAAUUGCAUCAGAAACUGUUGAACUUGAGUGCAGAAGAGGAGAGUGGAACUCCAUGUGU